rnacentral:rRNA from 1 species
GACGAACGCUGGCGGCGUGCUUAACACAUGCAAGUCGUACGGUAAGGCCCUUUCUGGGGUACACGAGUGGCGAACGGGUGCGUAACACGUGAGUAACCUGCCCACAACUUUGGGAUAACGCUAGGAAACUGGUUCUAAUACUGGAUAUGUGCUCCUGCUGCAUGGUGGGGGUUGGAAAGCUCCGGCGGUUGUGGAUGGACUCGCGGCCUAUCAGCUUGUUGGUGGGGUAGUGGCCUACCAACGCGGCGACGGGUAGGCGGCCUGAGGGGGUGACCGGCCAAAUUGGGAACGGGAUAAGGCCCAGACUCCUACGGGAGGGCGGAGGGGGGAAUAUUGCCCAAUGGGCGCGAGCCUGAUGCAGGAACGCCGCGGGGGGGAUGACGGGCUUCGGGUUGUAAACCGCUUUCAGCAGGGACGAAGCUGUUUGUGACGGUACCUGCAGAAGAAGCACCGGCUAACUACGUG